rnacentral:rRNA from 1 species
AGUGAACGCUGGCGGUAGGCCUAACACAUGCAAGUCGAACGGCAGCACAGUAAGAGCUUGCUCUUACGGGUGGCGAGUGGCGGGCGGGUGAGGAAUACAUCGGAAUCUACUUUUUCGUGGGGGAUAACGUAGGGAAACUUACGCUAAUACCGCAUACGACCUACGGGUGAAAGCAGGGGAUCUUCGGACCUUGCGCGAUUGAAUGAGCCGAUGUCGGAUUAGCUAGUUGGCGGGGUAAAGGCCCACCAAGGCGACGAUCCGUAGCUGAUCUGAGAGGAUGAUCGGCCACACUGGAACUGAGACACGGUCCAGACUCCUACGGGAGGCAGCAGUAGGGAAUAUUGGACAAUGGGCGCAAGCCUGAUCCAGCCAUACCGCGUGGGUGAAGAAGGCCUUCGGGUUGUAAAGCCCUUUUGUUGGGAAAGAAAAGCAGCAGGUUAAUACCCCGCUGUUCUGACGGUACCCAAAGAAUAAGCACCGGCUAACUUCGUG